UUUUUGUCUUGUUUGUUUAAUUGGGUUCUGGUUGUCUACUUUUAUGACUUCUGAAAAUCUGAUGAUGUCUUAGGUCAUAUUUAUGCAGUUAUAUAGACAAUUCUAAAGCAUUCACAAGCUUUCAAGCACCACUGUAUCUGUCUCCCUGUUGAUUCAGGUGGGAAAAUGCUGUUCAGAUCUAGACUAAUAAACACCUCAGUAAACAAGCCAGCCACAACCUGUUUCGUGUUUCACAGGCCACUGCAUAUGUGGCUUAGGAAAAUGUUAACAGGGAGAUGUCAUCUCCACGACUGAAUGGCACAGUUUCUAUCCUGAAGGCAUGAGUGAUGGGAAGCAGUGGGGUGACAGAUGACGAGGCAACAGCAGCCCUAUUCUUAGUAAGCAGUCAUUGUUUGUGCUCAAAUGUUAUGGACUACAUUAUUCUGUCAACUUGUGUGUGUGUGUGUGUGAGAGAGAGAAGCUUUAAUUAAUAGUGCCUGUAACCUGUUUGACAUAAGAUUGGAAAGCAGAGCACUUUUUGUUUGAACUGGGAUUUUUUUGGUCUUGUUGUGUUUUUUUCAUCUGCACACUCCUUCUUCUUGCUUUGAAACCUCAGGGGUGUUCCCGUCUGGCAGCAGACAAGACAGGAGACAUGCACUGUGGAAGCUUUUCAGUUGGAGGUUUCUAGAGAUUAAAUCAGAACACAAGAGAUGAUAUCCCCGAUAUCAGAGAGAUGAUAUCCCCGGCCUGGCUUAGGUGUGGAGUGACGGCUACUGCGCAGCCAGUGGGGAGUAUGAAGCAAGCUCAAGGUGGAGCCCGAGGGGGGAGCAACAUUAACCAUGGAGGGGGGAGCGAUGCUCUCCUCGAGGUCAGAGGGAGAACCAAUGUCCUCCAUGGAGCAAGAAGGGGGAGUGUUAUGAGGCAUGAAGCAAAGAAAUGGAGUGACGUCUUCAGCGGAACAUGGAGGCAGAAUGACGUCAUCAGCAGAGCAGGAUGGCGGAGCAACGUCCUCAGCCGAGCAGGAAGGCAAAGUGACAUCCUCAGCCGAGCAGGAAGGCGGAGCAACAUCCUCAGCUGAGCAGGAAGGCAAAGUGACAUCCUCAUCUGAGCAGGAAGGCAGAGCAACGUCCUCAGCCGAGCAGGGAGACGGAGCAACAUCCUCAGUGGAAUAGCAAAGCGGAGCAACGUCUGAAGAGAAGCCUGGUGUAGUGAUAUCCGAGGCAGAGCAGGGAGGCAAAGUUGAACAGGAAGGCUGAUAAAAAAAUAUAAUUACCUUGCAUUACAUCAAUAAUACAUAAUUCACAGUUCACGCUUAGAAAUAAUAGUUUCAUAAAGACAUAAAAUCUUAAUAUAUUACAAAAUUAAGAGCAAUUGUGUUUAACUGGAUAAUAAGUGGUGUUUCUCUGGCAUUAUUGCACUGUAGUCCAGUCGUAGAAGUGUAGUAUUAGUGCUAAAAUAAUUUGUGUAGUCAUUGAGCAUGUUUACAGCUUGGGGUCACAAACUGUUUCUAUGCAUUGUCUCUCUGCUUUGUGGGUCACUCUGUGGCACACCAUUAGGCUGUUUUGCCUCUGUUAUGCCAGAGGGGAGGAGCCCUUGUUAUCUGUGCAUGACUCUUUGAGAGUGGCCGUUGUGGUGAUGUCUCCAUGUUGGAAGUACGCUAAUUGUCUUUGUGUCCUGGUUCCGUGCUCCAGUCCCUGGCAGGUUACAAUGGUGCCCAGUGUUGCUCUCCCAGAACAAUCGCUCUCUGUCUCUGCUGGACCAGCACAGUCACUGUCAGUUCAGACUGUACACACUCUGCAGCAAUCGCAGAUACCAAGCGAUAGACCAGAAAAAUCCAAAACCAUAUAGACAAAAACAUUCCUGCACUCAUUUGUACACAUACCCAUUACACUGAUAUUCAUUUAUGUGCAAACAAAUUGGUACUAUGAUGAAUAAACACCAAAUGAGACAGUGAAACAUUGUCAAGUUUGCAUGCAAUAAAUCAGUGAAUAAUUCACCACAAGAUAUCAAUGCUAUUGGUAGCCUCUAAGAGCACUAUAUUGAUGCCAAUUCAGAUCCAUGUCUAUUCCGAUCCAUAUCACCCACUGAUAAUCUAAAACCCAUAGUUUCUAAACAGAGCCUGCUGAUGUAAGCAAAGAGGCUUGAAUGUGGAUAUCAAAUAAAUUGAUUAGAAACACUGCAGCCCAGUUUGAGGGUAUGGCUUGAUAAAAGGAAGCUAAAGCAAAGUCCUGUCUAAGGAAGGAAAACUACAUAAAUACAUCUUAGUUGUGUAAAUUACAGAACUUUAAAAUCUUUAAAGACUGAUAUUUAUAUUUGCACAGAUGACUAAAAAAGAGUUGGAUCUGACCUGCAGUCAAAGAGCUGAGAUGCUGUGGAUUCUGACACAGGGGAUCCCUCAAACUUUGUUUCCUCAGAAAUGCCCUUGAGCCCUUCUCAUUUAAACUUCAGCCCCUGUUAUGUGCCUUUUCAAUUAAGCCUGUCUUAAGAUAUACCUGUCUUUCCCUUUUCUCUUAUUUCUUGCUUUCUCUUUUUAUCCCUUUUCCUAACCAGUGUUGGGUAAGUUACUCAAAAAAAAGUAAUCCACUACAGACGACUAAUUACUACUUUAAAAUUGUAAUCUGAUUACAUUACUGAUUACUGCAUGUAAAAAAGUAAUCACAUUACUAAUUACUUUCAAGUUACUUUCAAAACCUUUCAAACCUACAAAAAUAACACUACAAACACUACAAAGUGAAACUCAGUUCUUUCAGUGAUUUUAGCGUGCGUCAAUGAUCGGAAAAAGUUGGAUUUAUCAUAAAACUUGCCUCGGGUGUUGUCACUGUUUGUAGGACUACCAGACUGAUAAAAUAGAAAACUUUUCUAACUAGACUAGUCUCGUGUCACUAACCAAGCAGAGGCACAGCUAAGCUAUUGUUGUAUGGGUUUAGCUGCUACAGUGCCAUGCAAAGUACAUUAUCUUUCCAUAUGCUAUGCUCAUAUCAUGUUUACGAAAACUGGAACUCAUAUAGACAUUUACACACCUUGUUUUCCUGCUCAGCAUGAGAGGAUGUUAGUGUUUCAGUUUCAACCCAUUUACU
ensembl:lncRNA